rnacentral:tRNA from 1 species
GCCUGGGUGGCUCAGUUGGUUAAGCAUCUGACUUUGGCUCAGGUCAUGGUCUCCUGGUCUGUGGGUUCAAGCCCUGCAUCAGGCU